AACGAACGCUGGCGGCAGGCCUAACACAUGCAAGUCGAGCGAGGACUUCGGUUCUAGCGGCGGACGGGUGAGUAACGCGUGGGAAUGUGCCCUUCUCUACGGAAUAGCCCUGGGAAACUGGGAGUAAUACCGUAUACGCCCUUUUGGGGAAAGAUUUAUCGGAGAAGGAUCAGCCCGCGUUGGAUUAGGUAGUUGGUGGGGUAAUGGCCUACCAAGCCGACGAUCCAUAGCUGGUUUGAGAGGAUGAUCAGCCACACUGGGACUGAGACACGGCCCAGACUCCUACGGGAGGCAGCAGUGGGGAAUCUUAGACAAUGGGGGCAACCCUGAUCUAGCCAUGACGCGUGAGUGAUGAAGGCAUGAGGGUUGUAAAGCUCUUUCAGCUGGGAAGAUAAUGACGGUACCAGAAGAAGAAGCCCCGGCUAACUCCGUG
rnacentral:rRNA from 1 species